UGCCUAACACAUGCAGGUCGAACGGCAGCAUGGUUUGAGAAUCUUCGGAUGAUUGAACUGAUGGCGAGUGGCGAACGGGUGAGUAACGCGUAGGAAACUGCCCUAAAGUGGGGGACAACUCGGGGAAACUCGAGCCAAUACCGCAUAAGCUCUACGGAGUAAAGCUGCCUUUUAGGUGGCGCUUUAGGAGGUGCUUACGUCCGAUUAGCUAGUUGGUAGGGUAAAGGCCUACCAAGGCGACGAUCGGUAGCUGGUUUGAGAGAACGAUCAGCCACACUGGGACUGAGACACGGCCCAGACUCCUACGGGAGGCAGCAGUGGGGAAUAUUGGACAAUGGGCGCAAGCCUGAUCCAGCAAUGCCGCGUGUGUGAAGAAGGCCUGAGGGUUGUAAAGCACUUUCGUUACUGAGGAAGUGCAUUUGAUUAAGAGUUGAAUGCAUUGACGUUAGGUAAAUAAGAAGCACCGGCUAACUCCGUGCCAGCAGCCGCGGUAAUACGGAGGGUGCGAGCGUUAAUCGGAAUUACUGGGCGUAAAGCGCACGUAGGUGGUUUUUUAAGUUAACUGUGAAAGUCCCGGGCUCAACCUGGGAAUGCCAGUUAAAACUGGGGAACUUGAGUACAGUAGAGGGUAGUGG
rnacentral:rRNA from 1 species